UACAUAGGGUGCAAGCGCUAAUCGGAAUUACUGGGCGUAAAGCGUGCGCAGGCGGUUUUGUAAGUCUGUCGUGAAAUCCCCGGGCUCAACCUGGGAAUGGCGAUGGAGACUGCAAGGCUGGAAUCUGGCAGAGGGGGGUAGAAUUCCACGUGUAGCAGUGGAAUGCGUAGAGAUGUGGAGGAACACCGAUGGCGAAGGCAGCCCCCUGGGCUAAGAUUGACGCUCAUGCACGAAAGCGUGGGGAGCAAACAGG
rnacentral:rRNA from 1 species